rnacentral:rRNA from 1 species
UACGUAGGGGGCAAGCGUUGUCCGGAAUCAUUGGGCGUAAAGAGCGUGUAGGCGGCCUGGUAAGUCCGCUGUGAAAGUCCAGGGCUCAACCCUGGAAUGCCGGUGGAAACUGUCAGGCUCGAGUCCGGAAGAGGCGAGUGGAAUUCCUGGUGUAGCGGUGAAAUGCGCAGAUAUCAGGAGGAACACCAAUGGCGAAGGCAGCUCGCUGGGACGGUACUGACGCUGAGGUGCGAAAGCGUGGGGAGCAAACAGG